CCUACGGGUGGCUGCAGUGGGGAAUAUUGCACAAUGGGCGCAAGCCUGAUGCAGCCAUGCCGCGUGUGUGAAGAAGGCCUUCGGGUUGUAAAGCACUUUCAGCGGGGAGGAAGGCGGUGAGGUUAAUAACCUCAUCGAUUGACGUUACCCGCAGAAGAAGCACCGGCUAACUCCGUGCCAGCAGCCGCGGUAAUACGGAGGGUGCACGCGUUAAUCGGAAUUACUGGGCGUAAAGCGCACGCAGGCGGUCUGUCAAGUCGGAUGUGAAAUCCCCGGGCUCAACCUGGGAACUGCAUUCGAAACUGGCAGGCUAGAGUCUUGUAGAGGGGGGUAGAAUUCCAGGUGUAGCGGUGAAAUGCGUAGAGAUCUGGAGGAAUACCGGUGGCGAAGGCGGCCCCCUGGACAAAGACUGACGCUCAGGUGCGAAAGCGUGGGGAGCAAACAGGAUUAGAUACCCGUGUAGUC
rnacentral:rRNA from 1 species